UUUUUUGUAUGAUGCAUAUUAUGGAUGUUGGAAUUGAUCAUGAAUUUUGUUGGAAUUUUUGGAUUGAUUUCUGAUUUGAUUGGGAUUUUCCAUUCUGGAUGGUCAUAUGUAAGCUUUUGGAUUGCCUUGAUUUUCAUUUGUUUGUGAAAUGCUUGUUCUUUAUCCUAUGAAUGUGAAACUUUGCACACUAUUUCUAGACACGUUAAAGGUUGUUUUGGAUUUGGUUUGAGGUUUUUACCAUGAUUCAUGUCUAUUUUAGGCCUAUGCUAAGUUGGUGUGACAAUUG
rnacentral:lncRNA from 1 species